UGCGUAGGCGGUGUGGUAAGUCUGAUGUGAAACCUCCAGGCUCAACUUGGAGCUGGCAUCAGAAACUGCCGUGCUAGAGUGCGGGAGAGGAGAGUAGAAUUCCCGGUGUAGCGGUGAAAUGCGUAGAUAUCGGGAGGAAUACCGGUGGCGAAGGCGGCUCCCUGGACCGCAACUGACGCUGAGGCACGAAAGCUAGGGGAGCAAACAGGAUUAGAUACCCUGGUAGUCCUAGCCGUAAACGAUGAACACUUGGUAUAGCGGGUAUCGAACCCCGCCGUGCCGGAGCUAACGCGUUAAGUGUUCCGCCUGGGGAGUACGGUCGCAAGGCUGAA
rnacentral:rRNA from 1 species